GAUGAACGCUGGCGGCGUGCCUAAUACAUGCAAGUCGAGCGAACGGACGAUAAGCUUGCUUCUCUGAUGUUAGCGGCGGACGGGUGAGUAACACGUGGAUCACCUACUUAUAUGACUGGGAUCACUACGGGAAACCGGAGCUAAUACCGGAUAAUAUUUUGAACCGCAUGGUUCAAUAGUGAAAGUCGGUCUUGCUGUCUCUUAUAGAUGGAUCCGCGCUGCAUUAGCUAGUUGGUAAGUUAACGGCUUACCAAGGCGACGAUGCGUAGCCGACGUGAGAGGGUGGUCGGCCACACGGGAAGGGAGACAGGGUCCAGACUCCUACGGGAGGCAGCAGUAGGGAAUGUUCCGCAAUGGGCGAAAGCCUGACGGAGCAACGCCGCGUGAGUGAUGAAGGUGUUCGGAUCGUAAAGCUCUGUUAUUAGGGAAGAACAUAUGUGGAAGUAACUGUGCACAUCUUGACGGUACCGAAUCAAAAAGCAACGGCUAACUACGUG
rnacentral:rRNA from 1 species